rnacentral:rRNA from 1 species
AUACGGAGGGUGCAAGCGUUAAUCGGAAUUACUGGGCGUAAAGAGCUCGUAGGUUGUCAAGAAAGUCGGAUGUGAAAGCCCCGGGCUUAACCUGGGAAUUGCAUUCGAAACUUCUUGACUUGAGUAUAGGAGAGGAAAGCGGAAUUUCCGGUGUAGCAGUGAAAUGCGUAGAUAUUGGAAGGAACACCAGUUGCGAAGGCGGCUUUCUGGACUAAUACUGACACUCAGGAGCGAAAGCGUGGGGAGCGAACAGGAUUAGAAACCCUAGUAGUCC